rnacentral:lncRNA from 1 species
GCGAGUGGAUGCUUGUGGAUAAGUGCCAAGGUCUGGCACUUGUUAAUAGAUUUAAUGUCGAGGAAGUUUUCAAGUGUUUCAUCCACUGGGGAACAGGAACAGUCAAUUUGGAGCUCUGGUCUGAACAAAGGCCAGUUUCAAAGCAGUCACCUCUUGCGAUUUCCCAUGAAUACGAGGUGAUAAAAAUUCCAUAGGCACUCGUGCAAAAUUCUGCAAAAUAUUCCGAACGGUCAAAGGAGUGUUCUGAACUUGAACAAAGUAAGACUGAAUGUUUGGCUGGCAGAAUGUAAAUAUCAAUCAGCUGAGCCUAAUAAUAAUCGAUCUCCACGUUACUUGUUAGUGUCUUGUGCAACUCGAUAUAAUUUGGUGACUUGUUAAUGCCUGAAUAUCUUUCCAAGACUUCAACGAGCAUAGAUUUGUUUGUUUUAGAGGAAGCAACCAUUAGAUGGAAAGGUAAGCAGCACAAGCUUUGUUAGCUCGAGGAUGGUGAGUGUGGGGCUAAUGCAUAGGAUGGGAAUUGACAAGAGAAAAAACUAUGAAUUGAGAUGGCAUGGGAUAUAAUAAGCUCAUGAACAAUUAGGCGCAGAAUAAAUAUUUACAGGUGGUGGCAUACAUCUACCAAUUUUGAUGGCAUAGGAAUAAUAAGUCUCUUUCAAUAGAAAAAUAGCAAUUCAUAUGCUGCUUCAAAUUCAUGUUUAAACAGACUCGACUCUUAACAAACAUCAACGGACCACAAAGUUCAGUUACUCCACAAACAUUUACAAAUCCAACAAAUACCAUUCGUAUGCUCAAAAGGGUUUUAUUGUUACCAAUACUACAACCGUAGUAAAAUUCAUGUUACAUUUGAAUUCUGACUCUUUUCAUCAUUGGUUCAGUGACUGAUACCCCAAUGGAGCUGGAGAUUCCCUCAAUUGACGCCCUUGGUAAUGUAUGUCCUUAUUGUUAUAUUAUAUUAUAUCGAUAUUACAAUCAAAGUCCACCGAAGUAGAUUUGUACAAUUUAUAACAAGCUGGGAUCUAUCGAAUUUAAUUAACAAAUCUACUCUAAAUAAGAGUGAGAAUCUCCAUUUCUAUAAGAGUGUUUUACCACUAUAGUCUAUAGAUACGUAAUGUGUUUGCUUUAAACAUAGCAAUGUGAUGGCGAUGUGAUUCUAAUGUUAUAAUAACAUUUGUUUGUUGGAAGGAAACAAUGAUGUGAGGCUGUUGAAGCACGCAUGAUGAUGACGAUGAUAAUUGUAGUCUUUGAAAUAUUUUUACUUUACUAUAACUGGAUCAUUUUUUUCCCAUGAAAGUUCGGUUUUGCGACCAAGACUCUUUUUUCCCUAUUGCACUCAAAAUUUCUUUAAGAAAAACCACCUGGUGAAAAGCAAUAGAGUAGGAUUAGGGUUAAUUUUAUUAUGCUAUGCAAACUCUGUUACAAUGCAUUGUGUUUGUUGCAAGAAUUAAAACUUAAAAUUAUCCUAAUCUCUGUCUAAGCUUCAAUUUAAUUGAUGGAAGCUUAUAUUCGAUUAUGUUUCUUCAACAAUUUAGGGGAUAUAUUGAUGAGCUCAAAAGAAUUUGAGGAAUGCUUGGGGACUCAAUAUUUGAGUUUUAACUUGGGUUACAAUGUCAUGUUUCACUCAUGUAUUGCAUGAUAAAUAUAAAAUUAAUUAUUACUUUAUUUGAUCAUCUCAUAAAUGUGAUAUCACUUAUGUGUUGGAUGAUGAAUGUAAAAUUAAUUAUUACUUUACUUUACCAUCCCAUUAAUGAAUAUCACAUUAGUUGGGAUUCAAAUUAAGGUAGUGUUUUUUUUUUUUUCGUCUGAAAUCUGAAUGGGUUUGAAUUUGACUGGAUUCUGAAUAGGUCUGAAUAUAUAUAUAUAUCUAAAUGAUAUGUUUGUUUUUUCUUUUUUCAAUAUCUGAAUAUAAGUGUUAACUUGUUUGUUUUAUUGGAUAAACACAUGACAAGUUAUAAAUAAAUUAUUUGAUUAGUAAAAAAAAAAUUGAUAAUUUUUAUCUUAACAAAGCAUGAAAAGUAAAAUAUAUAUCAAAUACACAUACUUUUCUACAUUGACAUAUGAUACAUAUAAUGUUAUUUUUAGCAUUUUAUAAUGAUAUUUUUUCUUGUUAAUCAUAUAAGUCAAUCAAUAAUUGUUUAAUCAUUGGAAUUAAAAUUAAUGUAUUAAAUAAAAUUCAAAAUCUAUUAUAAAAAUAGUAAAUAUAAAAAUUGAGAAAUGGACCUAUUAUAAAAUACAUUCACCUAAAGUUCUCUUUGACAAAAAAAAAAAUUAGUAAUAGUUGAAUACAUGUACAAAAAAAGGAUAAAUAAAAAAUAAUAAAAGGAUAGUUUAUAUAAUAGAAAAUAAAUUUAUUUAAUAGGGUAUUAAUAAAAAAGAAUUUUAAAGUUCCAUUCACAUGUUUUGCCAUUCAGAUAAAAAUAAGAUUAUUUAACUUUUUCAUUCAAAUCUAAACAUAAUCAGAUAUAAAUGAUAAAAAACAAACAAAAUAAAAACCGUAAAUAUCUUAAAAAAAAUUAAGAUUCAAACUUCAGUUAAAAAAUAAAGAAACAUUAAAACUUAAAUAUUGAGACACCUAACAUUACUUAAAAGAAUUUAAAAUUUAAUGUACAUAACUCAAAAGAAUUUAGAAAGAUUACAGAUCCUAGUCAUGCUUGAAAAUGACUUGACAUUUUAUUAUCCUUUCUGUUUACUUAUUGCUAGGUCUAAUACCCAACAACAUCAUUGUCAUACUAAUGACUUACAAUAGUCCUUAAUUAUUAGUUUUUUCACUUGAUAUCUACCCAUGCUUUUGGGCUGUGUACUGACAAUUAACGCAAUAUAGUAAUAUGGCUAUGUAACGAUUAAUGCAAUUGAGUAAUAUGGGAUGCUGUGUAGGGUAAAAUCAUAAUUUAAAAUAAAUAAAACUAUAUUUCUUAGAAAUUUAACGAUUGGCACCAUGGUCUCAUACUAAUUUGUCGUCAUUGUUGCCAAUCUGCCCUCGUUGUUGUCGACGCCGAUUUUGCUCAAGGUUCCCGCCAAUUAUUUUCCAAGAAUAUAUGAGAAAAUGAAAUAUUUCUUUCUCUAUUUGACCUACGACAACAAAAUUAGAUCCAGUAAUUUGUGCACCGUACAGUAAAUACUUAAGGAUUUUUAUUUUUCAUCUAACGGCUGAGAUUUAUUGUCUCUAAUUUUUAUGGAUCGAACUUAGAUAUUAAUGCCUGUUAAAGGUUCAAAGUUGAAAAGAAGCACAAUAAUUGAGAUGUAAAAUGGGAUUAGAUUCUUAUUAAAUAAGGUUGAAUCUUAAUUUCAAAACUAUGUGGCUGAAUCUUAAUGUUUAAAACUAUGUAUUAUAACCACCUACACUUCCUUAGCUAAUUCGCAUACUUUCUUGCCUAAUUUUUAUGUUUUCUUUUGCUUCUUCAAUUCCUGUGCUUCAUUUUCUACAAAGAAAAAGUGUGCUUUGGAAGUUUUCGGCUAGCUAACCAAAUGAAAAAAAAAAAAAGUAAUGAAGAAUUCGAACAGGAAUUUUACUUGGACAAAUUAUUCACUAAUGAAAAAUUAGUUCUACAUUAUGUAAAUGGACAAAUUAUUCCCUAUUAAAAACUAGAUCUAUGUUGUUUAAGUCACCCGAGGCGAAUUUAUGGUGAUCUAAGAAGAAGCAAAUCAAAGAAGAACCCGCAAAGUUGGUUGGUGUGAGUGGUUCGGCACUCUCACUCCUUAAGAGAGGUCAGGGGUUCAAGCCCCACUCUCGUAUGGAGUCACCACUUUGGCCAGCACUUUACCCCUUAUGGGCCGACCCGGUGCGAGCGAGGAUUAGUCUGGGUUGUGGUACGGGCUUAAAGGUGCCUCCCACAGUUGGGGUCCACUCAGGACCACCUCGUGGUUCAAACCAAAAAAAAAAAAAAAAAGAACCCGCAAAGAGAACCAGAGGUGCUUGCAUGCAGAAGAACCAGCGAUGGGUAAAUAUUUGAGCAGGUAUUCCUUCGCUGCUUAACCAGUAUUCCUCUUGAAAAGUAUUAUACAUCCUUUCAAGUGCUUAUCUCUGUGUCCACAUUAGUGACAAGCUUGGUUAUGUUAUGUGAAUGAACUUUAGUUUUGUAAGAGGAGAAAUCAUGGUCAGCCAAUCCUUCUACGUAUGGCCUACUUAAAUCCAUAUAGCCUGCACAAUACAAGAGAAAUCAAUACUAUUUUAAUGUCUUGUACUGCCAAUGCACACACUCGACCUUCCCCGGCCAAUGCAUCCAACUUUCCAGCUCCUCCGAAUCCUUUGCUUCUUUCUCCAGAAACAAAAAGCGUGCCGUGGAAGCUCAAAUGGGGGAAUUCAAGCGCGAAUUCCAUAUGGAAAAAAACUCUAAACCUUGCCGCAUGGAGAAAAAAUAACGCUAAUGGCAGCCACCAAACUGAAUAAAUUUGGCAAACAAACCCAAAAGUGUUGCGCUUUCAGUGUCUUAGCCGAUCAUUGAAUUCGACAUUAUUUUGCACUAGUCAUCACAAACUUCGAGCAUAACAAACAAUUACAUUGUAUAAUUUUCGGGGCCUUGAUUGAAUAAAACUAAAAGAUAAUCUUUUACAAUCACAUCUCUAGAACAUAACUGAUUUUAUUGCAAAAAUGCUUCUCUCCAGCAGGACCUAAAUAUCCAGUAUACAAAAAAUUAAAACAGUUAUAGCAUAAUAAAAUGGCAAAUUUUGAGUAUUUUCAUUUAGAGAUACAGUAAAAUCUCUCUAUAAUUAUAAUGUUGGAACCAAACUAAUUUUAUUAAUGAUGAGUUUAUAACUUAAUAGAAGUGCAGUUAUAGAAAUUAUUGUUCCGACUUAAUUAUUCUUAGUGUACAUGAUGUAAAAAUAAAAUAUACAUAAAGUUAAAUAAUUAAUUAAUAGAGCAUAUUCUUUCUUCCAAAAAAAAUUAAUAGAGCAUACCAAAUCUAAUUUAUAAGCAUUAAUUGAAAGAGAUAAACAUAAUUUCAAAAAACUAGCAAUUUGUUUUUUUGGUAGUCUACAAAUAUUUAUUAAUGCGUGGAUUAAGUUACUUAAGAUGAGAUAUAGAAAAUGAUAACUAAUUAUAAUAUAAACUUUAUUCUUACUUAUAACUUACCCAAAUAUAAACAAAAAAAAAAAAAUUACGCCUAAAUGAUAGUUAUUCCUUUGAUAGCAAAUCAAUCCUUUUUUUUUAUUUUUUUGGUUUGACUAACUAGGAACGAUUUGCUGUUGGGCUUAUAUCUACAUAAUAUUAAAAAUAUUACAGUAAACUUGUUCAGGUUAGUUUUUUUUUUUGUAGUGUCUAGAAAUAGUCGACUCUAAUUUACUAAGAACUUAUUGCCGUUGAAAUGACGUCAUAAGUACAACUUAGAGUCUAUAUUGACGACCUGGUUUAUAAGUACGAAAUGAGGUUUACAUGAAUGACUUGGUCUAAAAAUACAACAUUAAGCCUAUAUGAGCGACCCAUAAAUUCACUAGUCCAAUCUGGAAGUAAAGUAAUCCGAUCUCAAAAUUUAUUUGUCUGACCCAAGAAUUAGCUUGACAUGGAAAAUUAUUGCUCAAGAUAACGUGGCCUAAUUUCUAGGGAAGUUGUGUGCCAUGAUUUAUUUAAACCACCUCUAACUGACAACUACUUGCAACUGCUGAAGAAAGUAUACUUAAACUAAGGAGGUAAAGCUGAAGAGGGCAUCAGAGGAAGGGGUUAGCAAAAUUAACAAAAAAGCUCAACAAGUGACUAAUCUUCAAGCCACUCUAUUUUUUAGGAGAUUCACACCACCACCACCCAAGAAUUCCUUGAUUCUAUCUCACCUCCAAUUCCUCUUUUUCAUUUUCCAUUUUCUUAUAUACAAAACAUCUGACUUAAGUAUAGGAGAAUUUUUGAUGGACCCAUAGGCAUAUUUGACUUUAUUUUGUGGUUGGCAGGCAUAGGAAAUUGCGGUCGUAUUGUAGCUUGAGUUUAGAUUCGUGUUGUUAUUCCCAAGAAAACAAAUUUAGCUGUUGAGUCGUUUUUCAGCAUCAACAUCUUGACACCAUAUGUGGCGAACGGUGCGAGAAGCCAUACGUUUGAAGAUUUAGUAGGGAACACCAUAGUAUUAGGAAAUGGCGAUGAAUGAUGAUGAUGGAGAUAGGCAAACCUUGCACUAAUUGGUAGACGAAAUAAAUGCCACUGCGGACAAGAGAUGGAAAAAAGGGAUCGAAAGGCAAAUGGCAAGAUUUGAGGAGAUAAUUAAAGGGCUAGUUGAUGCCCAAGUCAGAGGGACUCAAGUUCGAACUAGUGAUCUAGAAAGUAGCAGAGCACGGGAGAGAGAGGAGCUUAGUGGUGAACAACAGAGUGAAAUAGGCUUACCUCAAAUUAAGGUAUGAUAGAAGAACACAAGUGCCAGAGAACAAGUGAAUGAGUUGCGGGGGAGAAUCAAUGACUUGAAUCAUGAAAGGGAGAGGGAAGAGCUAAGAAACCCCCAAUGGGCAAAUGAGCUUGAGCAACAAAUGCUGCAAUUUCAAAAAAACUCUAGAGGCAUUAGAGGCGAAAACAGAGGGUAAAAAAGUGAUAGGAAGAUUGUUACUUGACGACGAAUCCCUCCCUAAUACCAGAGGUGAUGACGGUAACUUUGUCAUCUAAGUAGGUAGUUCUAGCCUUGGUGCAUAAAGAAAAAAUUGACCCAAAUCAUCAUGUGGAGAGGUUUAAUGAGAUGAUCGGGAUUCAAGGUUUGAAUGAUUUUCAAAGGUGCCAUGUUUUUCUCCUAAUUCUAGAAGGACAUGCACAUGAAUGGUACCAGAGACUAAUAUAUAUAUAUAUAUAUAUAUAUAUAUAUACACACACACACACACACACACACACCAAAAUAAUGGAAAGAAAAUACAAAAGAUGAUUUUAUUACAACAAGCGAGAAUACAAGAUUUCACCCAAAGACUCUUACUACAACUUAAGACUCCAAGACUCGAUGAUCCAACACACAACUAGGGAGUCCCUUUUAUAGGCUCCAAGAGAAUCUCCUUUUACUAUCUAUAUCAUUAUAUCUUAUCCUUAAAAAAUCUACUUUAUGACUCAUCACUACUUUAUAUUACAUAACUCACUUCAUCCUUAUCUCUAAAGAAUCUACUUUACAACUCAUUACAUAUGACACCACACAAUUAUUACUUAUUUAUUGGUUAUUAUUCACCAUUGCUUCCGCUGGUAGGGUCUACUUCGCUUCCACUCAGCUAGUGCUGCUUUCCUCUGUAGACCACGCGCGGUGCAAACGUUCUUCUUCCCACGGGGCGAGUUACUGCUCUAUGAGCUAGUUUUCAUCUAUUAUCUCACAGUUGAGGGUGUGAGAGGACUGUGGGUGUUGUAUAAUGGUUAUGUGUUGUUAACUUCUCCUAGUGCUCUUCUUGCGUGUAAGCAUUCAUUCCACAUUUUAUAAUGUUCAUCCACAGUAUGAUCAUGAUCUACAACUCUGGGUAGAGGUGGCUUGUCUCGUUCCCAAAUAUCUCUUAACUUUACUAUGAUUGUAGUAGUUUGAGAUAUUUGAUAGCCAUUGAUUGGCUUCAGUGUAAGGAGAUUUUCAUAGAUUGGAGCAAAAAGUCUAUCAAAUCACCUUCCAUAGUUGUAUCGUCGACUCCUGCGAAUGACAUGAGGCUGAAAUAGAAUAGACAUGGGAUACAUGUUGAGGAGUAACUAAAAGGAGUAAUAUGCUUGCGGCAUAGCAUCACAAAUCACAUAAUGUUCCUCAAUUGGUGUCUUUGUCACUCACAUGAUGGAAAUAUAGAUGGGGUUGGAAGACAAACUGGAGCAUUUGGUCUAUGUUUGGAUGAGGAUUGAACAGCAUGUAGGGCAACAACUUUUCUCCAACUUUUCUUGCUGGUUUAAAUUCAAGGUUAUCUAUUAAGUGAAAAAAAAAAGACCUCACGGUAUUUUAAAUUUCGUUAAAAAAAAUUUACUGGUAAGUGCCCAAUAAAUUUUCAAACAUGUCAGGUGAUUCGAUUCCUCGCCAACCAAAUCAUCCGAACACUAUCCCGCGCUUGUUCUAUUUGAUUGAAGUUCUCCAGAAUCAGAAAACUGACACGCCACUUUUCCUGUUCAUCACCAAUUAGAUUUUGGACUCCAUCACUGCACUAUGGUAGUGUUUACUUUUUGGAGUGGGAGUGUGGAGUGUGGAUUCCUCCCACUCCAGUAUUUACUUACCUUAAAACAGGGAGGAGUGGGAGUGGGAAUUGUGGGUCCCACUCAAUUUUGAAGUGGGGAGUGGGAUUCCCACUCCCAUGGGGGGAGGUGGGAGUGGGAAUCCACUCCCCCCUCUUCCCAUUUUAUCCUUAUAAAAAUAAAUAAAUAAAUAAUAUUUAAUAAAAUAAAUAAAUAAUAUUUAAUAAAAUAAAUAAUAUCAUAUUUAAUAAAAUAAAUAAUAUCAUAUUUAUUAAAAAUAAUAAUUAUAUCAUAUUUAUUUUAUUAAAUUUAAUAAAAUAAAAAUAAAUAAAUAUUAUAUUUAAAUUAAUAAUAUUAAACAUUAAUUUUAAUAAAUAUUAAUUAUUUAUUUAAUUAAUAAUAAUAAAUAUUUUAUUCUAAAAAAAUAUUAAUUUUGUACUAUAUUAUCAAUAAUAAUAUUUCAUUUGUGUUGCUAUUAUUAAUAAUUUUUAUUCACAUAAUUUAAAUUUAAAUUAAUAAAAAAAAUUAUGAUUUACAUAAUUAAGAAUAUUAGUAAUUAUUAUUAAUUUAUAAAUAUAAUAAAAUAUUUAUUUUAUUUUCUAAAUAUAUUUUUUAUUAAUUUUUUAAUUACAAAUUAUAAUUCUGUACAUAAAGAUAAAAUUAUAAUUUAAAAUAAUUUACUCCCAAUCCAAGAUAAAAUAAACAAAUAAUUAGAAUUUUGAUUGACAAUCUAUCUUUUCAUUUAGUUUAAGUAAACACCCUACUCCCACUCAUACUCCACACUCCUAAUCUAAAGAUUCCCACUACUCAGAAUUCUCACUCCAAUAAAAAAAGUAAAUGUGCGUGCAAUUUCCGCGUCCGGUGAAUCGCUCGAUACCUCCUGGGCCUAUUAAAUUCAACUUUUAUGCUACUAAUUACUUAAAUAAUUAAAUUAUAUUAAAAACUAAAAAGGACCGACAAAUCAAAAUGAUAGAGAAUCACCAACCUGCUGCAGUAGUGCUAGAGUCACUGGCGCGCCUGUUGGAAUUACAACAACAACAGUGAACCAUGAGUCUACUGCUUCUUCGUCUUCUUCUUCCAAUUCCAAAUUGAACAAAUUUGAUCGUCGAAGCCUCUUCGCCUUAACCUCCUCAGACACAAAAGCAACAUCUCAUCUCUUUUGCUCCAUCAGAUUACUAAUCAGUUCGUUCAUUCAUUUGAUUGAUUUCCAUCUUCGAAUAUUAUUUAAAAUUUUUCAUACGCAGAAAGUGAUCGGCAUCUAGAAUCGGAAUGGCGGCGGAGGCGAUCGCCUCGUCGGACGUGGUUUCGGGUGACAUGAUUUUUGAACCGGUUUUAGAGGAAGGAGUUUUCCGGUUCGAUUGUUCGGCGAGUGAUCGUCAAGCAGCGUAUCCGAGUCUCUCGUUUGUGAAUGGAAAGGAUAGGGACACGCCAAUCUCGACUCACAUGCGCCCUUUAUACACUCCAACUUAUCAAUGUGUCCGCGGUCAACAGAUAGUCAAACUUGAGGUUCACUCUCUGCGUACAUUGCCCUUUCUUAAUUUCUUUAGUAAUGCAUGUCUUUUUUUUUUUUUUUUUUCCAAGCUAGAUUAAUCUGAUGGCUUUUUGUUCUGAUUGUAGUUUCCUGCUGGUACCUCGUUGUAUGGAACUGGGGAAGUUAGUGGUCAGCUAGAGCGGACGGGAAAGAGAGUGAGUUCCUGUUUAUUUAUUUUUGGAUAUGACGUGCAGGGAGCCUUUACUUGUUCAACUACAAUGUGGUGAACUUUUUUCCUGUAGAUUUUUACAUGGAACACGGUUUCGGGGGGCUAUGGUACUGGAACAACGUCCUUGUAUCAGUCACAUCCUUGGGUGCUUGCCGUUCUUCCGAAUGGAGAGGCAUUGGGGGUUCUUGCUGACACAACACGUCGAUGUGAGGUGUGGCUUUCUUGUGAACUUUGAAAGUCAUGAUGUCUUGCUUUUGAGUUGUGUUUUGGUCCAUUGUGUGCUUGUUUUGUGUUUGGAAUCUCAUUAAUUAAAGGGCAAAUAUCAUUAACUCCUAGACUCCUGGCUAAAAUCAAGCAGCUUUAAGGUCUUUUUCUCUGUCUUCACAUGUGGCCAUGUUGGACUAAAGCGAAUAUACUUCAGAUUUCUCUCAAAACUAGCCUAUAGUGACUCUCAUAUUUGCUCCUAAUUUCCAAAGCUUACUUUUGUUCUUUCUGCUGUAUUUUAUUUCUUAGAUUGAUUAAUUGGUUUUUUCAGCAUUCUAUUGUUUGUCAGUUGAGGAAAUUGAUGGAUUGUAAUGAGGAAUUAAAUGAGAAACAUGCAAACAGUGUGGAGCAGCUUGAUUUCAGACUAAACCUUCAGGAGCUUGAUUGUAUUUUCCCUUUAAUUAAGUAGGCCCCAAAAUGAGAGAGGGAUGGGGGGUUGGGGUGGGGUUGUUGGAGGACAAAUUGCUAUUGUUGAGUAAAAAGUUAACCUAUUAUGAACUUUUGUGGUAACCCACAUGGAUCUAUCCUAACAGUCCUCUGUAUUUAUUCUCCUGCAGAUUGAUCUGAGGAAAGAAUCAACAAUACAGUUCAUUGCUCCAUCCUCAUAUCCUGUUAUUACAUUUGGCCCUUUCACUUCUCCUACUGAUGCUCUGGUUUCUCUUUCUCAUACAGUUGGUAAUCUCCUGGACCAAGCUUUCUCUUCUUCAAGUGCUCCAUGUCCUUGUCAAGUUUUUAUGAUGCCAAGAUAUCUUCCUCUGUCACAGUUCGCUCUUUCAUGAUUUUCAUGUUGAGUCAGGAAACAUAAUACAUAUAAUAUGUUCCUUUGUUUUUUGUGGUUUAAAGGGUAUCUAUUUUUCUUUUAACUCUUCCUUGAGUGAUGCAUGAGUUGAAUUCUGUGUUUCGUUGAGGUAUUUAGAUAUAGAUAUUUUGUUCUCAAAGCUUCUCUGCUAAUACAAUAAUAAGAGUAAUCCUAAUAAAAUAAAAGCAAUCCUUCUUGAAUCAAGCUUAAUGGACAGAGUGAUUAAAAGUGUGUUUCGUAUCAUUUUAAAAAACAGUUCUCAAACCUACUUAUGAAAAUGACAGUUGAUGUUCUUCAAAUGAUGUUUACCUGAUCAAAGAAUGCUUUUGGUAGUGACUGCUAUAAUUUUUUCUAAAAAUAAAAUUGGGAGAACAUAUUUGGUAUUCUUGAAAAUGAGAUUUUUAUAUUAUUGUUAAUGUUACUAUUUAUCUUUUUGUAGUUAAUUCAUUUUCAUAAUUCCGGAAUUCUAGUUAUAAUUUUGAAUAUUCAUUUUUUGUUCUGCAUAUUGGUUUCUAGAAAACACCACUCCUAUUAAAAUUAUACUUUUUGUUUUUGGAGACAUAAAAUCUAUUUGAGAAACAUAACCAAACUCUCAUUAAUAUACUUUCAUGACCUAUAAUGAUCUGUUAUGAGCUUUUUUCAUUGUUUGAGUCUGUGAAUUAUCAUUGAUGAAAUAGAUAGAGGCCUCCAGUUAAACAGAGCAAUGAUGGCAAUAAUGAAAAGUUUUGGAAUUUUGCAUAUUUGUCCAUCUUCAUUUCUUCACAGGAACAGCAUUGUGGCAGUUAGAUUAGUGUUUCAAGAGCUUCUUGGAUCUUUUUAUUUUUAAUGUAUCAUCUUCACAAUUUUUUUUUUUUUAAUUUAUUCUUCUUUAAAGCAAAGAAACUGCUAAUUGUAAUUUACAUUUUAUGGGUUUACAACAGUGAAAAAGCUGUCCACAAAAACAAUAACAUAUGGCUUGGACUCACACUUUGUAAUUGUUGAUUUUUCUUAUUAGGGACUGUGUUUAUGCCGCCAAAAUGGUCCUUAGGCUACAACCAAUGUCGCUGGAGCUAUGAUUCUGAAAAGAGAGUUCGUGAGGUUGGUUCUUUCUCUUUUUCCCAAUGAAUUUUUCUUCCUUAUUUGCUUCAUUUUUGGAAGGACAACAAAAUUCUAAAAAAUUGUUAUUCCUAAAGUUUGAUCACCAUUGUGCUUUCUAUAUCCUUCUAUUAUACAUUUUAUUUUGUGCUUUUCUGAUUAUUAACCCAUCAUAUAUUCAGAUUUGCAGGACAUUUCGUGAGAAAGGUAUACCCUGUGAUGUUAUAUGGUUGGAUAUCGACUACAUGGAUGGAUUUUGUUGUUUCACUUUUGACAAGGCAUGUUCUUUCUUAAUGAUAUUUCUGGAUGAUACGUCUAUUGCACCAUUAAUUUAUUAUGAGUUAAAAUUAAAUCAACAUUCAUUAAAGCAAUAAAAAGCAAAUAUCAACCCAGAGGAGAGUUUCUUCAGUUCGUUUAGACUUCCAAAAAUUGAUUAAGUAGAGUACUUUCUAGAACUUCAGUUUCAUUUCAAUGUGCUCAGGAUGCAGUAAUAUUAACAAUAUAUGAAACUAAUUCCUCUCAUGAAGGUUAGUAGAUAAAGAAAAAAGAUGGUCCCUUCGUUCAUUUGCUGGCCUAGCAUCUGCUAGGACAAAAACUUGGUUAUGGAAAACCUUUUUGAACUUAACAAUAUUCACACUAUAUAUUUUUAUUAUAAGGACAUGUCUCCAGGCAAGGCGUUGCUUUUACAUAGCUGUAUAUUAGCCAUUAUGUGAGAACACUAUAAUCAUUGAUAUGGGUAGUGAAUUAUAAUGAUUUCUUUUAGGAGCGUUUCCCAGAUCCGAAAUCUUUGGUAGCGGAUCUCCACCUUAAUGGUUUCAAAGCAAUGUGGAUGCUUGAUCCAGGAAUUAAACAUGAAGAUGGUUAUUUUGUGUAUGAUAGCGGCUCUAAAAUUGACGUGUGGAUUCAGAAAGCAGAUGGGACGCCUUUUAUUGGUACUUUUCUUUAUUUGAUGAAGCUGAUUUUUUAAAUUAAUUUUUUGAGGUGUUAAAGUUAUCAAUGUCCUUAUUUCAGGGGAGGUGUGGCCUGGGCCUUGUGUUUUCCCUGAUUAUACUCAAUCAAAAGUUCGUUCCUGGUGGGCCUCUUUAGUUAAGGAUUUCAUUUAUAAUGGAGUUGAUGGUAUAUGGAAUGAUAUGAACGAGCCAGCUGUCUUUAAGGUUAUUCUUAUAUUUAUUCCUAUGCAUGUGCAUUCUCUUUUAUUUGUAUGUGGUCUUACUGCUUUCUUUCUUUCAGUCUGUAACAAAGACAAUGCCUGAGAGCAACAUUCACAGAGGGGAUGAUGAAAUUGGAGGUUGUCAAAAUCACUCGUACUAUCACAACGUAUAAUUUUUCAACCCUAAUCUGGUGGCUUUCUUCUUACAUGUAAUCUCUUUUGCUAUUAGUUUGUACGUGCAUAGAUCUCUUCGGUUAUGCUAUUUUGCCCGCAACGUAACCCAUGUGCGAAUGGUUAUUCCCAUGAUGGCAGUUAUUAACAUGGGUUGCCAAACUUAGGUUUAUGGCAUGCUAAUGGCAAGAUCGACGUAUGAAGGCAUGAAGUUAGCUGAUAAAGAUAAGCGUACUUUUGUUCUCACCAGAGCUGGAUUUAUUGGUAGUCAAAGAUAUGCUGCCACAUGGACAGGAGAUAACGUUUCAAAUUGGGAGCACCUUCAUAUGAGUAUAUCCAUGGUACUUCAAUUGGUAAGUGUUCAGUUGUUCAUUUUUUCUGUUUUCACAAAGUACUAAUGAGCUAAACGCUUUAUGCCCUAAAUAAUUUAUGCCUUUUCCCCCUGCUAUAGGUGAUGCUUUUGUCUCUCUGACCAAUCGUUACACUUUCUUUAUAGGGAAGACUUAAGUGCUGUAUAAAUGAUGGAUGCGGAUAAGAAGUUUGGUUUGUGGUCUCUUUCAAGAGUAUAACUAGUCAUCUUUUGCUUUGUCUAAAACCUGAAAACUGUAGAACCAACCAUUAGGCAGCAUCUUUGGUCAAAGUUGUUUUGUCGUAAUCCUCUAAUUCAUCAUAGAUCUAACUUGGGAAGGGGUCCUGAAUUUAUUUUGUGAAUUUUGGGUUUGCUUUAUUUGUUUUGAGACAAUUUAGUCCUAAAGAUCCUAUGCUUUUCUUGGAAAGCUUAUCAGUUUAGAAUUGGAUAGAACAUUUCUGUGAUCUUUUGGGAGUUCUUUUUUUGUGAACUCACUCAAUUCUUUGUAUAUCCCUUGUUUUUAGUACAAGGUUCUUCGUUUCCUAAAAGAAAAUUAUUUUCUCAUUCUUAUUAUGAAAGGUAUUCAACUUUUUUACCUUCGAUCUUUCUUUAGACUUUUUAUUUUCACCUAUGAAAUUAUACUAGUUCUUCAUAACCAAAUACCCUCGACUGCCACAUUAUACCAAUUCUGCAGUCCCUGUUAAUCAUCUUCUUCCUUCAGCUAGGGCAUGAAAUUUACAUGCUACCUAGAAUUCUAGAGGUUUGUGAUGGUUUAAUUUGGAUGCUGAGCAAUUUUUCACCAUCUUCAAUCAAUAGGAUUCUUAAAGUAAAACAUGAGGUCAUAUCUUCCCUUGACUGCCACAUUAUACCAAUUCUGCAGUCCUUGUUAAUCAUCUUCUUCCUUCACCUAGGGCAUGAAAUUUACAUGCUACCUAGAAUUCUGGAGCUUUGUGAUGGUUUAAUUUGGAUGCUGAGCAAUUUUUCACCAUCUUCAAUCAAUAGGGUUCUUGAAGUAAAACAUGAGGUCAUAUCUUCCCUCUUUCAAUCCUGCUUCAAGUAAUUAAGCUGCGUCUCCUAUUCUUCCCCUCCCCACCCAACACCCCCCACCCCAAAAAAAAAAAAAAAAAAGCACUGUCUUGAAUCUGCACGACACUUCCUGAUACGUCGCUUUCAUCAAUUUUAGUAUCAUAUCAAUGCAGGCUUACAGUAAUUAUUUGUGCCUGGCUAUAGUCUUUUGGCAUUAUCUUGCUUCUCUAUGACUUUUUGUUUAUUAAUCUUAGGCUAUGAGUCUGUCAUCCAGAAAACAUACUAAUGCAAGCCUUUGUCUAACUAAAUAUAUUUGCUUAAGUUUGUAUUUGGAUACAAUUCUGACAUCCGACAUUAUCUUAACACACAGCUGGCUUUGCAGAACUGUUUGUCUUGGUUCCGAAUUUUUGAACUGAAUUACUUGGAGGCAACAUAUGUUCUUUUUUUUUUUUUGGGUUAUUUCUUUCUGACAUAUUCUACAUUCUGAUACAUUAUUUUAUUUUGUAUUAGGGACUUAGUGGUCAGCCACUUUCAGGACCUGAUAUUGGUGGAUUUGAUGGAAAUGCAACACCAAGACUUUUUGGACGGUGGAUGGGUAUAGGUGCUAUGUUUCCUUUUUGCCGGGGGCACACUGAAAGCGACUCUAUUGACCAUGAACCUUGGUCUUUUGGGGAAGAGGUAUUUUUCUGCUCUAGCAUUGUUAUUAUAGCCUUUUUCUGUUUCAAACUUGAAUGAGUGGAUUCUUUUAAGUGCUACAGGUUAUGGAGAAUGAAAUUGUUUUCCUAUUAUUGAUGACUGAAAAGGCCCAAAAAUAUGUUAAAACGCUAAUUAUAACUGAAAGAGCACUUUAUGAAAAACAUUCUUUUUAUAUUUGGAAAAAAAAUCAAUUGCCUCUCUUAAGCACAAUAAAAGUUAUAAAUCAUAUGAGAGCUUGUGGUAUGUAUGAAAAAAAUCUUGGAAUGUCAGAUUUUAUGAAAUGUUCUAUUUCCGAGCAAUGGGGUAGACUGCAGAUGGCAGCAAAAAUAUUUAAGCAGGAGGAUGCCGACUAACUAAAUGACAAUUAAUUUAAUCUGCUGUCUUUGCUUAUUAAGUACUACCGUAAUUUAUUUAGAGCUUAGUUGAUCUUACUAAAGGAGGUUACCUGUGAAUAUGCAUGCUUGAUCAAAGUACAUAAACUAAACAUUGAUUAGUCAAAAGAUCUCAGUAAUUGUGGUGAGAACCCCGGUGUAGUACCUUGCAUAAACUUUAAGUUAUAUCUACUUCAUGUCCUCAAGAAGAAUGAUGUCAAGGCAAAACCAAGAGUCUGUUUGAUCUGCCGAUGAUUAAAAACUAAAUUUAGACAAGCAUAUGUCCGAAUCAAUCCAUGUGGGUCUGAAAAAAAGAAAAAAAAAAAAGAGGUUGUUUGAUCGAACUAUAUGAUGUGUGCAUUGAGUUAGAGCUGAGGAGAUCUAUGGUAAAGCUGAUAGGUGAAGGACCCAACAAUAGUAUUUAACUUCUUACACACCUCGUAUAAUGCAAGGCAUGUGAACUAAACACAACAAAGAACCAAAUACACAUUUUCGUUGAUGUGCUUUUGCAUGUCAACCAAAAGAAAAACACCACGAACCUUAAUAACUGCAAAAAUUUUAUUUUAAUAAUGUUGAUAAAUUAGAAGUAAUUGAUAAGGAUUUGUUUGUUAGAGAUUUGGAUAAAAUCUUAAGAUUUAGGGAUGAGAUAAGUUAGUUCCUAAGUAUAGGAUUAAUCCUUUAUUUUUCCCUAUUUAAAUUGUUUGUUUUCUCUAUUUUUUAAAUGAAUUGAAUAAGAGAAUUUUUCCUCCUUCUUCCUCUGUAAAAUCUACAUGGUAUCAGAGCCUAGGGUUUGAUCAUGAAUUUUAAGGCCGCCAUGGUUGGCUCUAGUUCAACCUCUUUGGAUGGCAGCAGUAGUAGGACUUCAUCGGAGGAAGUUUCUCAGCCACUUCCGGCUGUUUCUCUUUCUGAAAAUUCUCUUCAAAUUACCAUUCACAAAUUGAAUGGAAAGAAUUAUUUUGAAUGGUCUCAGUCUGUUCGUUUGGUGAUUGAUGGAAAAGGGAAACUAGGGUACUUGAAUGGCGAGGUAACACCACCAGCCACUAAUGAUCCAAAAUACAGGCAGUGGCGUUCAGAGAAUUCAAUGGUUACUGCCUGGCUGAUCAACUCAAUGGAUUCUAUUAUUGGAAAAACCUUCAUGUACUUGAAGACUGCUCGUGAUGUCUGGGAAGCAGUUCGGGAAACCUACUCAGAUUUGGAAAAUCAGUCACAAUUGUAUGAAUUAAACACCCGUAUGUGGAAGAUGCAGCAAGGUAAUCGUGAUGUAACAGCUUAUUAUAAUGAUAUGAUGGCUGUUUGGCAGAAAUUGGAUUUGUUUGAAGAUGAACAAUGGGAAAAUUCUAAUGACAGUGCUCGAUACAAAAAGAAAGUUGAAAGAGGUCGGGUAUUUGUUUUCUUGGCUGGUUUGAACAAAGAACUUGAUGAGGUUCGAGGACGUAUACUAGGGAAAAAACCUUUGCCAACUAUUAGAGAAGUUUUCUCAGAAGUGCGCAAAGAAGAAGCACGACGGCAAGUGAUGUUGAAGAAUAACGAUGAACCAAAAAUAAAUAGUGAAGGAUCUGCUCUUGUGACUCGAGGUACAGACUCAGGGGGAAAGCAGAAGCCCUGGUGUGACUAUUGUCAAAAGCCGUGGCAUACUCGAGAAAGUUGCUGGAAGUUGCAUGGGAAACCAAAGAAAAAAACAGGCAGUGACACCAAGUCAGGGGCAGAUGUCCGCGCAUUUCAAGCUAGCAGCACAGAUCCAGGGCAGCAAUCAUCCUCAGAGUCUCUUCCUUUUACCAAAGAACAGAUAGAGCAUCUAUAUAAAAUGUUUCAGUCCCAAUCCUUAGAAAAAUCUAACCCAUCUUGUUCUCUAGCACAGUCAGGUAAUUCUUUCAUUGCAGCCCUAGCGUGUACUAAGUUUCAUGGCUCCUGGAUAUUAGAUUCAGGUGCUACUGAUCAUAUGACCGGUAAUUCGGAGCUCUUUUCCUCAUAUAUACCUUGUGCAGGAAAUCAAAAGGUUAAAAUUGCAAAUGGUUCCUUAGCUACUGUUGCUGGAAAAGGAACAGUUACUAUUUCUCCUUCUCUAGUCCUUAAGAAUGUUUUGCACGUCCCACAUUUGUCUUAUAAUCUUUUAUCUAUUAGUAAAUUAACUUUUGAUCACAACUGUCAAGUUAUUUUUCAAUCUUCCUGUUGUAAAUUUCAGGAUUUAACCUCGGGGAAGAUGAUUGGGGGUGCUAAAAUGGGUGGUGGACUCUACUUCUUUAAUAACGGAUCAACCUAUGGAAGGCAAGAUCUGCAGACUUGUUUUAAUUCUAUCUCUGUUGUUAAUGACAGUAAGAUUAUGUUAUGGCAUUAUCGAUUAGGACAUCCAAAUUUUCAAUAUUUAAAGCUUUUGUUACCCAAGUUAUUCAUGAAUAAAAAUCCUUCUGGUUUUCGAUGUGAAUCUUGUGAAUUAGCUAAACAUCAUCGAGCUAUUUUUCAAUCUCAACCAUAUAAAAAAUCAAAACCAUUUAUCAUGAUUCAUAGUGAUGUUUGGGGUCCUUCUAGAGUGCCAACUUUUUCUGGAAAGCGCUGGUUUAUUCUUUUUAUUGAUGAUCAUACUAGAGUCACUUGGGUCUUUCUUUUAAAAGAAAAAUCUGAUGCUGAAACUGUGUUUAUAAAUUUUUAUAAUAUGGUUCAGACACAAUUUCAGACUCAGAUUAAAAUUUUUCGAAGUGAUAAUGGAAAAGAGUUUUUUAUCAAAGUGUUAGGGAAUUUUUUUUGCUGAAAAGGGGAUUGUUCACCAAAGUUCUUGUAAUAAUACACCUCAACAGAAUGGGGUGGCUGAAAGAAAAAACAGACAUCUCCUUGAAGUUGUUAGAGCUAUUAGUUUUACGACUAAGGUUCCUAAAUACCUUUGGGGAGAAGCAGUGUUAACAGCCACUUAUUUGAUUAAUAGACUGCCUACGAAAAUUUUGGACUUUAAACCACCAAUUAAAGUUUUAAGUGAAUGGUUUCCCACAACUCGGCUAACAACCGAUAUUCCCUUUAAAAUUUUUGGAAGUGUGGCUUUUGUUCAUAAUCAUGAUACUAGACGUUCAAAACUUGAUCCAAAGGCACAUAAAUGUAUUUUUGUAGGCUAUCCUACAAAUCAAAGAGGUUAUAAAUGUUUUGAUCCAAUUCUGAAAAAAAUGUUUGUGUUUAUGGAUGUCACUUUUUUUGAAGGACAGUCAUACUACAACAAUUUCCAUCUUCAGGGGGAGAGCACUAGUGAAGAUGAAUUUUUAGAUAAUUUUGAUUUAACUUUUGAGUUUGUUCAGGAUGAUGAUGUUUCUUACAAACAGUCACCGAAAGAAAAUGGGAUGGGAAACACAAAAACAGUGGAAACAAAUGAACUAAAUGUUGAAAAUAUUGAAUCCACAACUGAACAACCUUUGGUAAUUCCUUCUCAAAAUCAAAAUACUGAAACAACUGAGAUGUGUACAAAACGGUUUAAAGGUCUUGUAUAUUCAAAGGAACAUCUAGCACAAAAAAGAGCCACUAUCCCACAGCACUAUCAAGAAUCUAACCAGAGGUUGGAUCAUGAAGUUUGUGACGAUUCUUCAGAAAUCCCUGAAAACAAUCCUCCAGGUAAUUAUGAGUCAAAUUCUUCUAGUCAGCUUGAUCUUCCCAUUGCUCUUAGAAAAGGUAUUAGGUCUUGUACAAAACAUCCUUUGUCAAAUUUUAUAUCUUACAAAAAUAUUUCUUCAUCAUAUUGUGCUUUUAUUUCACAAGUGUCCAGUGUGGUUAUUCCUAAAAGUGUCUAUGAGGCUCUAAAUGUUCCUGAGUGGAAAGACGCAAUGCUUGAGGAGAUGAGCGCCCUGGAGAAGAAUGCUACUUGGGAGAAAGUGGAUCUGCGGGAUGGAAAGACAACUGUCGGCUGUAAAUGGGUGUUUACUGUGAAGUACAAUUCAGAUGGAUCCUUGGAAAGGUACAAGGCUAGACUUGUAGCCAAAGGUUUCACUCAGACAUACAGAGUAGACUACUCUGAGACUUUCUCUCCAGUGGCAAAGCUAAAUACAGUUAGAGUACUCUUGUCUAUUGCAGCUAAUCUUGAUUGGCCUCUAAAUCAGCUGGAUGUGAAGAAUGCUUUUUUGAAUGGGGACUUAGAGGAGGAAGUCUAUAUGGAGCCUCCACCGGGUUUUAAUGAGAAAUUUGGAACCAAGGUAUGUAAGCUAAAAAGGUCUUUAUACGGCCUUAAACAGUCCCCCAGAGCUUGGUUUGAGAGGUUCACAAGUUUUGUUAAAAGCCAAGGAUAUGAUCAAGGGCAAUCUGAUCAUACGCUGUUCACAAAGAGAUCUGUUGAAGAUAAAAUUUCUGUCCUUAUUGUCUAUGUAGAUGAUAUAAUUUUAACUGGAGAUGAUAUAGUAGAAAUGAGCAGAUUGAAACAAAACCUAGCCAAGGAGUUUGAGAUUAAAGAUUUAGGCCAACUAAAAUACUUUCUUGGAAUGGAAGUGGCAAGAUCAAAGAAGGGCAUUGUUGUCUCACAACGGAAGUAUAUUCUUGAUCUCUUGAAAGAAACUAGGAUGAGUGGUUGCAAACCUUCUGACACUCCAAUAGAAGCCAACUCUAAGCUUGGGGAAGUAAAAAAUGGUGUUCCAGUAGACAAGGGGAGAUAUCAAAGACUAGUUGGGAGACUAAUUUACUUGUCACAUACUCGUCCGGACAUUGCUUUCGCUGUAAGCAUGGUAAGCCAAUUUAUGCAUUCCCCAUAUGAAGAACAUCUUGAAGCUGUAUACCGAAUCCUUCGUUAUCUGAAAAGUACACCAGGAAAAGGACUCUUCUUCAAGAAAAAUGAGAAGAGGGGAAUUGAGGUGUAUACUGAUGCUGAUUGGGCAGGUUCAGUCACUGAUAGAAGGGUCAACUUCGGGGUACUGUACAUUUCUAUGGGGUAAUUUAGUCACGUGGAGAAGCAAGAAGCAGAAUGUUGUUGCUAGAAGUAGUGCAGAGGCUGAAUUCAGAUCAAUGGCGCAAGGAGUAUGUGAGAUUCUUUGGCUAAAAAGGGUUCUAGAAGAGCUUAAAAGGCCAGUGAGUUUGCCUAUGAAGUUGUAUUGUGAUAACAAGGCAGCUAUCAGCAUUGCUCAUAAUCUUGUUCUACAUGACAAGAUGAAACAUGUUGAGAUUGACAGGCACUUUAUAACAGAAAAGCUUAAAGAAGGAAUAAUUUGUACUCCAUUUGUACUGACCACACAGCAAGUUGCAGAUGUUUUAACUAAAGGCUUGCUGAGACAGCCAUUUGAAGUUCAAGUUAGCAAGUUGGGCAUGACAAAUAUAUUUGCACCAACUUGAGGGGGAGUGUUGAUAAAUUAGAAGUAAUUGAUAAGGAUUUGUUUGUUAGAGAUUUGGAUAAAAUCCUAAGAUUUAGGGAUGAGAUAAGUUAGUUCCUAAGUAUAGGAUUAAUCCUUUAUUUUUCCCUAUUUAAGUUGUUUGUUUUCUCUAUUUUUUAAAUGAAUUGAAUAAGAGAAUUUUUCCUCCUUCUUCCUCUGUAAAAUCUACAAAUAACAAUGAGAGGAUUCGAACAAUAGACUACUUGGUCAAACUUAAACUGAUGGCUAAAAGCCAACAAUUGCAUUUAAUUUCUAUCAAUUUUUUUACAUUAAACAAGUGAGAGUGACUACCUACUCUAACAUUACUUAAAUAAGUUUUGUUUCUGGUGACAAAAUGGUUGUGUUUUCUUUGGGUUUAUUUGAUGUCAACUUGAGUAUCUAAAAGUAACAUGAGUUCUAUUUCUUUAGUGUGAGGAAGUUUGUCGGCUGGCCUUGAAGAGGCGCUAUCGCCUUCUACCUCAUAUCUACACUCUAUUUUACAUGGCUCAUACAACUGGCACUCUGGUGGGAAGUCCUACCUUUUUCGCUGGUAUGUCCUUGUGUGAGUGUAUUGGUUUUGUUCCUUGUGGAGCAUUAUGAAAUGUGUUACCUUUUUAUACAGGCUUUAAAACAAAUGUAAAUUGCCUGUGCAGAUCCUGAAGAUCUCACCUUGAGGAAACUUGAAAAUUCAUUUCUAUUGGGUCCGGUUUUAGUUUGUGCAAGGUUCUUAUUCUCUUCCUUAGACAUGACAUACUUGAUGACAGUGGGAUAGUGUAUAUGCCUUAGUUUCCCAUUUUCAUCCUGGUUUUAUGCCUUAAUCGCCUUCUCAUCUACUUGACCAUGAUUAUCGAAUUUUACUUGUGAUUUGAUUUUCCUGCUGAUAGCAUGGUUAUCUUCAUUCUAAAUAUUAUAUCAAUGUUAACCAACCACUGGCCGACCCUGGUGUGAAUAUAACUGGAACUUAGUCCUGUUGUCCCACCCUGAGAGAUUUUACCAAUUAAACCAAAUAUUUGAAUUUAAUAAUUGUGCUCUUUUUUUUUUUUUUUUUGGUAGCACAACGAUAUUUAGUUUUUUAGAAAUUGUUGAAAGCUUUCCAUACAAAAGAAUGCAAUCUCUCAAUAAAUUUUUGGGGGGAUGCUUUUGAAGAUAUAGCCUGGUCUCUCAUGUCUUAGUUGUCAUCUCAAGUUAACUAUCCAAAGCAACAGAAUGCCAACUGCACGAUGUUAGUGACAGAUUCUUUAUGCAACAAUGUUCAACAGCUUCUUUCCCUUUUCUGAGAAUUAUCCUUCUCUGAGAGGGUUACAUACUUAUCUUAUUCAAAAUCCUCAAAAUGAAAUAUUGUUUACUGUCGUGUAGUAAUUUCUGUUCUUGAUUUGAUGUCAUUGUUCUAAAACCACUUCUUUCUUUCUUUAUUGAAUAUAUCUUUCUAGUUUGUUAUCAAAGAAAAAGAUAGUGUAUCACCAAGAUAUUUUCUUUUGUGUACUGGGGAAAGUAAAAAAAUCAAAUAAGAAAAAAAAAAGGAAAAUGUCACAGUAUUAUUUACUUUCUUGAUUUUUUUUUUGUGUGUUGAACCCUUUUAAAUUUCUUUGAACUGUUGAAUUCUCUUGAUGUCACUCUUCUCAUGGAUUGUUAAGAGUGGGGUUAAGUUGGAGGACCUUGUAUUUUGCUUCUCAUCAUGCAUAUACUAACAUCCAUAUUUAUUCUUAAUUAGCACAUUGCCUGAUCAGAGGUCAGAUAAGCUGCAGCAUGCACUACCCAAGGGAAUUUGGCAAAGUUUUGAUUUUGGAGAUUCACAUCCGGUAUCUGUUCUUGGACAUUUAUCUGUAUCCAUUAAGGUCAUGUCUUGUUUCCUUUUUUCUAAAAAAAUGAAUUUUGAUCUUUUUCCCCCUUUUGUUCUUUUUGUAAUAUACCAGGAUUUACCAUCUUUAUAUUUGUGAGGUGGAUCAAUUUUACCUUUAGGUCCUCCGCAUCAGCAUGUUGGUGAAUCUAAGCCAUCUGACGACUUAACACUUCUGGUGGCUUUAGAUGAGAAUGGUAAUUUUGAUACAUUAAAUUUUUGUAGAACAAACUUUAAAUUUGAAGCUAAUAAUUUCCAAAAAUGUUUAUCAUCCGAUGUAGUUCAUAUUCUAAAGCAUUCUACUUGCCUGCUGAUUUUUCUGGUUUGAUUUUUUGCCUACCAGAUUGCAAUCUUAUGUGAUGGUUUAAGCUGCCUACAAUUUUUGUUACUAUAAAUUGAAGGUUUUGACAGGGGAGAUAGUAGUUUUGAUGCUUUUAAGUUAGUAAUUUCUUUAAACUGUUUGUCCCCAUGGCUAAAUAUUAAUGUAGAAUAACCAGAGAGCUAACACCUGAAACAUUGACCUUGCUGGCAAUCAACCACCUGCAUGUCAUCACCAACAGCACCAGUGAUUUUUCUGGCAAUCAAACUGUUCAUUUCAUUCAUCAGUCAUCUUCAGCCCACACCAUUACUUCCAUUGGUUAUACACAUGGCGUAAUGUUGCCGACAUAGAAUUGAUUCCUUGCUUUUGCCAGAUCCAGGUUCUUUUUCCAGUCUUCUGGGCUUUGAAAUCUUGGGCCACUUUUUGUAGGCCUUUUUUGGUCAGAUGCACUUGCUCUUUAAGUAUUUUGCCAUGGUUGAUUUUGUUGAAAUAGUUGAGUGAUUUGCAUUUUGAUCCAUGUCUCCAAAAUUCUGAUCAUAAAGAAAGAAUAUGACAAAAUUUUGUCAACUUGAUCAUGCCCAAGAUAAUAUUCCAUUACUUUGUUUUCUUCUUUUCAGUGAUAUGUCUUCAUGCGAGUUUGUGAAAUGACUAAAAGUUUGAUAGCCUUUCCAACUUUAUUGCUAUGUGUUAGACCACCUAUUCGUUUUACUUAUUCUAGAAGAAAGAUUGGAACCAUGUGUUAGGCCACAAGUGCGUUUCACAUAUGCAAGGCGCAAGGGUAAUUCCGGAAAUACCAAUCGUGGCUGACGUGUCAUCAAGUAGUAUAGAGAGAAGAGUUUGUUAUGCAUUUCUGUUAGUAAUAAGUUGAUGGUAUUCGGUUUUGAUAAUUUGUUAGAUUUUUCUGUUAUUCUAUUGGGGCGUAGAAGUGAGGAGGUUAUAUGGAGAGGAGCUGUUUUUUGGGAGGGGGAUCCAGAGAAUUAUUUUGUAGUGAGCUUGCUCACUUUUUGGGAGAGAUACCAAGCCUCUCGAAUGCUUGGGUGUUUUGGUUUAUUUCUGCAGAUAAAUACCAGUUUUCCUACUUCCAACAACAUUCUGCUCUCUACUGUGUUGUUUAUCUAACCAUUUCAGUUCAGGGCUUAUCACCAUGUGAGGAGGGAACCAUGUGAGGGAUUAGUGGGUCAGUUAUAAAAGGAUAAUUAAUAAGGGGUGUGUCUGUAUUCAGUUAUUUGUGUUCAGUUAUGAGGGCAUCCUAAGGGAUUCUUAUAGGGUAAGGAGAAUCAGAAGAGGGUGUGUAUCAAUUUGUUGAGAGCCUUGCUCUUGGGAGGGAAUCUAGGACUCUCGAAAUUCCUGGAAGUGUUGUAAGGUGUUUUAUCCACUGUUUUCACAAUAAAAACUGAUCUCGAAUAUAUUUCCAGAUUUCAUAAAUUUACCAAGUGUAACAGAAUGCUAUUGAUCCUGCUUUCCUUUAGCUUCUGUAUAACUUCCUUAUUUUAUCUUACAGGCAAAGCAAAAGGUGUUCUAUUUGAAGAUGAUGGUGACGGAUAUGGAUUCACUGAAGGUCAAUAUCUACUGACACACUAUGAAGCUGAGCUUCAGAUGUCAGAGGUUACUAUUAGAGUUUCCAAAUCUGAAGGAUUAUGGAAAAGGCCAAAACGUCGUCUUAUUGUAAAAAUAUUACUUGGUGGAGGUGCAGUGGUUUGUCUUCUUUCCCUGAGAAAUAUUCAUUAAAAUCCUACAUUAUGCUUUUGUUAUUUACCUUCUGGAGCAUCUGUUUAAAAGAUUUUUAGUAACUGAACUUUUGCGAAAACAGAUUGAUGCAUGGGGAAUGGAUGGAGAGGAUUUGCAAAUUGCAAUGCCAGCAGAAGCUGAAGUGUCUAAUUUGGUAUCGGGGAGUAAGGAAAAGUACAAGAUUUGUAUGGGUAAUGCUGCUUCCCAAAGCCGUCUGAGGCUCACUCAUUCAUUGGAAUUAUCCACUAAUUACUAUUUGUUGAUUUCUUUUUCAAUUUUCUUAACUAGAUUUUUUUUGGUUAAAUUACUUGAGAGAUUUUAGUGUACUUAUCCAUCCUCUUGAAUUAAGUAGAUUUACACUACAAAUUCAAAUGUGAUGUUCGUGAACAUUCUGAUGUUCUUAUUGCAUUACCUUGUUCAGUCAGAUAUCUUCAAUUGUAUUAUUUGAUUAGGUGUCUUUCUGGAAAUUGCAUUAUUAUUCAUGCAAUUUUAUGGCUUCAUGUGUGUAAAACUAAAAAAUGGGUUCUGAGUCAUGGUUUCUAAGCUUUUCCUGUGGAUUUCUUAUAGAUAGUUCCCUGUCUGUUGUUUAUUGACAGAUGGCUUGAGUUGGGAGGUUAAAACUACAGGAAUUCUUGCAUUUCAGAUUUUUUCAAUUUCUGCUUGUAGAGCAAUUUUAUAAAUUGGAUAGUAUUUGCAGAACUUGAUUACUAGGCCUUAACACCAUUUAUUUCUGAAAUUCUCUCAAAAUGUAAUUUUUUAAUGUUCAUGGCCAUAUUGCCCCAGUAAAUAUGUUGUUAAUUGAAGAAUUCAUUAUCUUGUUCCAGAUGUGCGAUUGUCAGAAGAAAAGAAAAUAGUUUGAAGAAAUCUUCUAUAAUUUGUUAAUUUCUAUAAAUUGUGUUGAGGACUUGAAAGUGCUAGGAAUUUAAUCAACUAAACUUUAAAUUCUUUAUUAGUGUUUGUGUUGGUUCUGAUGAGGUUUUUUAUUUGCAGAAAGUGCUAAGCUAAUUUCAGAUACGGAAAAGGCUUCUGAACACAUGGGAGUAGAACUUUCAUGGACUCCUAUUGAACUGAAAAGUGGUGAUUGGGCUCUUAAAGUUGUGCCUUGGAUUGGGGGUAGAGUUAUAUCCAUGGCACACCUUCCUUCAGGUAAUUCAUUAUCAUUGUUUUUCUUUGAGUGGGACGACAUCAAUGGUCUUUCUCCCUCUCUCUUUUGGUUAAAGUUGUACCCGUUGAGUUUAUUUUGGCUGUUGUAUAUCGAACAUAUGUGAUAUACUUCAUUGGUCACUUUCUUAAACCCUAAGACAAAGUGGACAUUUUUUUAGUUUUUCCUUGGUGCAACUUUGAGUCUAACGGUCAUCUUACCUCCUUGAAGUCCUAAGUUGUCAUUUUUUACUCUAAUCUUUACACCUAUGAAGACCCUGAUUUUAGAUUAUCAAAGGAGAAAAAAAUCAGGAUCUCUAGACAUGUUUUCUUUACAAGUACUUUAAAGAGACACUUCACUAAAUUUGAAAUAAUUUAAAUACAAAGAUGGAAAAGAAUACUUGAAUUUGUUCCACCGUAAACAUAUUUUGAAAAUUCGUUAGCUGUUUGCUGCUUGAAUGUCCUUAUCGGCCUUAUUGGCCUUAUGCCCCCGGCUACAUGAGAUUUCUUAUUUGAAGAACGUUAGCAUGUACUUUCAUUUCUAGUUUUAUCUUCUUGACUAUACACAUUCUUGUGCAAAAGUGAUGCAUUGCAUGAGAGAGUGUUUUCAGUCACACGCAAGGGAGAGUGUUUUUACAAGUCAAGCACAUGCAAGCAUAUGCACGCCCACAGGCAGAUAGAAAUUUUACAAUUCAGUGGAACCUGACCAAAUCAGUUAAUUAUUCAUUUGUAUUUCUAAUGUGUGAAACAUUAUGUUAACUGCUCAUCCAUUGACUCCAAAUUUAUUAUGUUGACAGGAACACAGUGGCUUCAUAGCAGGGUUGAAGUUAAUGGGUACGAAGAGUAUUGUGGUACUGAAUACCGGUCUGCUGGAUGUACUGAAGAAUACAGUGUCGUAGAGUGAGUUUCCAAUUAAUACGUUGAAAACUUCAUUUCUUUUUUUCGAAGAAGCAUAAUUUAAAUAAUCAAGAGUCAUAAUUAUAUAAUGCUUGCUGGAAUGGGACGUAUUAGAUCAAAGAGCCAAGCAUUUGAUUGAAUUGUUGACAAAUAGCAGUAGGAUGUGUUUGUUUAAUUUAAGAUGGAGUGUUAGAAAAUCAUGUUCUUUCUUUCUUUCCUAUGCUAAAAUAUUAUCCACCUGAUAAUAAAUUUGUUGUGGCUGCUUGUCGUGCCCAAUGUUUCUUUUUCUGUUUUGUGUUAUGCUUCUAUCACCUUUUCUUCUGUUGUAGGAGGAGUCUUCAGCAUGGAGGAGAAGAGGAAUCUCUCAUGUUAGAAAGUGAUAUUGGUGGUGGAAUGAUUCUGCAGAGGAAGUUAACUGUUCCCAAAGAUAAUCCAAAAAUCUUUAAGAUCGAUUCUAAAAUUCUAGCCCGCAACGUUGGUGCUGGCUCUGGUGGCUUUUCAAGGUCUGUUUCAUUCUGUGUUAUCUUUUGUCUCUUUUCGACACAACUACUUCUAACAGCACUAAUUCUGUAUCAUUUGGGACUGUCUGUGGUUUAUCAUUUGAGAAGUACUAAUUUUGUAUCACCUAGAUAAUGGUCUAAGAGUCUUAAAGUGAUGUAGGUCAGUACUCGAAAAAGAAAGCGAAAGGAGACAGUAGAAAAAAUAACAGUAAGUAGAGGGAAUGAAGUAAGAAAUAACUCGGAAGAGAAUGAAAAGAAAGAAUAUGAGACAGAGAAAACGUCUGUUUUCAUUAUGUCAAUCAAUCAUCCACCCCCCACAAUCCGGAUCAGCAGAUUCGGUGGGCAACUCCUGAGUCAACUAUUCUUAAAAUAAUAACAGCAGCUAUGUCAUCUAACUUCAUUCCCAAAAAAUGAAACACUUUAAAAGCGUAAACCUUUGCUAUGUACAAUCGUAGUCAUACUCUCACGCCUUCAUCCGAUUUGUUGUGGGGAUACAAGAUUGGCAUACUUUUGGAGGUUGAAGAGUGAGAGUGACACACCCUUAUUUACUACAUAAAAUUAGUAUACAAACUGAAAUAUUAUUGUUACACAAAUGGAGGCUAAAAAGCAUCUUUCUAUAUUAGUAUUUUAAUGUGUAAUAUUAUUGUUCCUGGAAAUUCAAGUAUUGGAUUUUUCUCUUUAAAAAAAUUAAAGAGAAAUUGCCUCCUUGACACUUUCUCGCAACAUGAAAAGCUCGUUGCUACUUGUGUGUGUUAUGGUUUUCUUGUUUCUCUACACAAACUUUGCAACUUUUACUUUCUGCUGCAGGCUGGUUUGCCUGAGAGUGCACCCCAUGUUCACCCUUCUGCAUCCAACAGAAUCUUUUAUCUCAUUUACCUCCAUUGAUGGGUUGAAGCAAGAAAUUUGGCCAGAAUCUGGGGAGGAGUUUUAUGAAGGAAACCUUCUGCCUAAUGGUAGUACUCUACUUUCAAUUUUAUUUUGGUUUUAUGUCAAAAAGUAUAGCAUUGUCUACUAAAGCAAAAUAUAAAAGGAGCAUUAAGAAAGUCAGUAUACUGAAGGCAUGUAAGGAUGAACACAAAAAUUUUGGUUUCCCUUUUAUUUUUUAUUCAUUUCUGCAAUUGUUCUCCAACUGCUUCCCAAGUGAAUCAUUGUUUAAAAUUAUUUUCAGAGAAAAAAAAGAUCUGUUGAAACAAAUGUGAUGCUGAUAGAUAUUUUCAAACUCAAGUUGUGACCGUGUUUGCCUCACCAUUUAAAAGAAUUGACGAUAAAUUUGUUUUGUAUGUGAUUUUGAUUUCAGGGGAGUGGAUGCUUGUGGAUAAGUGCCAAGGUCUGGCACUUGUUAAUCGAUUUAAUGUCAAGGAAGUUUUCAAGUGUUUCAUCCACUGGGGAACAGGGACAGUCAAUUUGGAGCUCUGGUCUGAAGAAAGGCCAGUUUCAAAGCAGUCACCUCUUGCGAUUUCCCACGAGUACGAGGUGAUAAAAAUUCCAUAGGCACUCGGGCAAAAUUCUACAAAAUAUUCCAAACUGUCAAAGAAGUGUUAUGAAGCUGAAUAAACUAAGACUGAAUGUUUGGCUGGCAGAAUGUAAAUAUCAAUCAGCGGAGCCUAAUAAUAAUAUAUCUUAACGUUACUUGUUAGUGUCUUGUGCAACUCGGUAUAUUUGGUGACUUGUUAAUGCCUGAAUAUCCUUCUAAUGUAUCUUAACGUUACUUGUUAGUGUCUUGUGCAACUCGGUAG